UAUUCAUUAUAAUCUACAAUUUCUGGGUUCAGUUUGUACUUUCUGACGAGUUCUUUGCUUUUUAAAUUAUGACAUACUUUAGUAUAUUUAGCUGGGUACCUUUAUUUCUUCUUGCUAUGGUCAUGUCACAGCUGGGAUGUAGUUCUUUCCUUUUUUUCUUCACAGGACUCCUCUCCAUUUUUGCACCCCCCCUCUGCAUUACCAAAGUCUCCUCCCCUUCGUAUACACUACCUGGAGUCUCUCUCACCCUCCCUUACAUUAUCUAAGUCUCGCUCCGCCUCCCAUCCACUCUGAAGGCUAGCUCCCGCACUGUGUGACAUUUUCUUUCACUGCAUCACAGACAGGUGAAGGCAAGGGAAGGAGGCGGAGCGAGUCUUCAGAGAGUGGACGGGAGGUGGAGCGAGACUUUGGAAGGGUGAGGGAGGGGGAGCGAGACUUCAGAUAGUUGAUGCGAGGGGGAGUGAAAAUGGAGAAGAGAACGCUAGUGAGGCAGCUGCAGAUUUUUUACUGGAGUGAGAUCUGCUAUGAAGGAAAGAGAAGCCGAAGGGAGGGGGUGGAGCGCGUUGUGGGAGUUUAACAUUUUGGCCUGCCUACGUUUCUGAAGGAUGAAGAGAAAAAAGGAAAAUCAGGAAGGGGGUCAUGAGUACUCAUCACUGGCUCAAUAGAGGCAUUGUAUUCAGCACCAGAGAAAGCGGCUCUAUCAAAGCUGUGCCCUGCUGAUCAGAGAAGAGCCGCUGCUCUUGAUCAUUUUCACAAUUUUAUACUCAUCAGUGAAAUGUUGUCGGUUCAGAUCACUCCGGUCCUCCAGCAGGAACAUAAGAAGCAGAAUUAUUUUAAAAGUACAUUAAAGUAAACCAAAGUGGAGAUGGCUAGAAAGCCAAAAGGUUCCAAGACUAAGAAUAUGGUAAGACAAGGAUGAAGGGAACUGCUAGUUGUCAGUUAACACAAAGGCCUUUACUACUUAAACUUGACCACUCAACCACUUAAAGGCACAUGAAACUUUUUUAAGCCUUUUCCAUUGUAUUUUUCAACUAGAAAUUUUAAAAGAAGAAUAUGUAUAAUUUUAAUUUCUGCAUAGUUUUAUCAUGCCCUACAAAAGUGUUAGUGUGCCUCACAGGCAUCAUAAAAUAAUUUCUAUCAUCUCCGUGUAUCAAUUUUGCAUUACUGUUCAUGUCACUAUAGCCUUUUGCUCUGUUUGAAAGAUGUAAUAGGGCUCAUAGCAAAAUCUGUGACCCUUGAAAAAAAAAGUUGUGUAACUUUUUCCACUGCAAACCCAAAUCCCUAUCCAUAUAUGCUAAGGUUACUGAGUCACCUAAAAAUCAAGGAUUGUUAUAAAUACCAUAAGAAAUGAUGCAAUUAAUGCAAACCAGCUGCUAUAAUGAUUUGUUAAUAGACAAAGGCCAAGGCUAGUGCCACACAGAUCUGAUUUUCAGCCUAAUCAGUUGAUCCACUUGCCUCUGCUUGCUCAAAAUAUGCAGAAAUUUGCGAGUAUGUAUUUUUGCACCAAAAUCUGCUCCAUUUCUGUCAGUAUCCAGUCUGACACAGUGCUUCUCAGUGCAGACACAGGAGUGAAUGAGCAUGAAAGGGUUGUCCCUUGUCAAAGAUUGUUUUUAUGUUUGCAGUAGAACCCACUACCCAUAUAAAAGUUUAGAAUAUUUGGUGCUGUAUAUUUGCCCUUAUUGAAGCUGUCAUCCAGGUCCACCUGAAAAAGAAUUCCUGUUAAACAAACACAAAAUUCCCAAUAUGAACUAAUUCUCUCAGAAGCUGAUCAUAUUUUGCUAACAAAUCACAGCAAAAUCAAACACAGUCAGUAUUAAUAACAUAAUAAUUAAUGCAAUCUGCUAUCAAACACAUGUAGCACUAUAGAUGGUACCCUUUCCUGAUGCUUUCAUAGGUACGGCACUGCUACAUGUUACCCCUCACUUCAGCUGGAUCCUCACAGAAUAAUUAAGUAGUCUUCAGGCUGAACUAUAACUCUGCUUAACUCUCUUUAACACAUUAACUCAGGUGCUUAUUUUGUACACCAAACAUAUAAAUGCAUAGCUACACAUCCCACACCAAAUUUACGAUAUGUAUCACUCAUGCCACGGGUGUUUGUUCCCAGUGUACCAGUCUUACCCAGUCCCUACACUUGAUGAGUGUCAACUGGAAAACUGCUCCACAUUAAUCCUCCUUAGUGGUACAUAAAAUAGUGAAGUCUAGUUAAGGUUGUCACCUGUCCGGUUUUGACCCAGACAGAUUGGAUUUUGGAAGGGGUGCCCAAGUCAAAACUGUCUGCCUAGUUUUCCAAAUUAGGAAAUAUGGGCAGGAUUACCUUGGAUUGAUAUGGCAAUCGGCAAUCAUAACCCUGUCCUUGACAUCACUGGCCUGCCCCUACAGAGUCAAAACCCUGCCCCUCCAUAUAAUUGACCGCCCCCAGGCCCAGAUUUGUGAUGAGGCCUAGGGUAUUACUGAGCACCCGCUGCUUAAUUUCAAGUCAAAACGCAAAUGUCCCUGAGGAAGCCGAGCUAUCGGUGAAACGCGUAGGGCGGGCGGCAUAGGUGGAUGAAGGGUGAUUAGCUCCCACUCGUUCCCCACGUAGACAGGCAGGUACCACUGGGAAACGAUUGGAGGGCAAAUAGGCUUAACGGGUAGCGUUAACUGAGCAUUUGCAAUUUUGACUUGAAAUUAAGCAGCGGGUGCUCAGUAAUACCAUCCAUAUACUUGUAGUUUUUAGAUAUAUGUGGUUUUUAGGGACAUAGUCCCACACUGCUUCAGUUCUAUGUGUAUGGAGGCGUGUGUCUUGUGUUAUUGGUAGCGUGCUUUUUACUUGAAUGGUUAUUAAAAGUUAAGUAUUAAAUAGUAAAAUAAAUCCUCUUUAUCUGAACUGGUUAGCUGGAAGCCCAGAGGCAAUGCAAGCUUUUUGUAAUUGGCUCUGACUGACUUCAGUUGUGGUUUGAAUAUUUUUGGCCUUAAAAUUAUGUUAGCGACAACUUCAGAUCUCCAUGUGUUCUUGAAUAGAGUCAAGGCGGAAUAUCCUGAGAUUGCCACAAAAGCACUGAAAACCCUGCUUCCAUUUCCAACAUACUCUGUGAAGUGGGAUUUUCUGUAAUGACAGAAACCAAAACGAGAUGAUGGAAUAGACUGGACAUAGGAAACACACGUCAUGUGUCACUGUCUCUCUUCACUCCCAGAUGGAACAGUCAAGUUACAGGGAAACAAGCUCAGGUCUCCCACUGAUUCUGGAUUCUGGCGAAUUGUAUUAUUUUUUAUAUUACAAUGUAUUAAUUAAAUUAUACAUGCACUA